rnacentral:rRNA from 1 species
AGCGAACGCUGGCGGCAGGCCUAACACAUGCAAGUCGAACGAACUCUUCGGAGUUAGUGGCGGACGGGUGAGUAACACGUGGGAACGUGCCUUUAGGUUCGGAAUAACUCAGGGAAACUUGAGCUAAUACCGGAUGUGCCCUUCUGGGGAAAGAUUUAUCGCCUUUAGAGCGGCCCGCGUCUGAUUAGCUAGUUGGGGAGGUAAAGGCUCACCAAGGCGACGAUCAGUAGCUGGUCUGAGAGGAUGAUCAGCCACAUUGGGACUGAGACACGGCCCAAACUCCUACGGGAGGCAGCAGUGGGGAAUCUUGCGCAAUGGGCGAAAGCCUGACGCAGCCAUGCCGCGUGAAUGAUGAAGGUCUUAGGAUUGUAAAAUUCUUUCACCGGGGACGAUAAUGACGGUACCCGGAGAAGAAGCCCCGGCUAACUUCGUG